rnacentral:rRNA from 1 species
GACGAACGCUGGCGGCGUGCUUAACACAUGCAAGUCGAACGGAAAGGCCAUGCUUUUGUGGGGUGCUCGAGUGGCGCACGGGUGAGUAAAACGUGAGUAAACUGUCCUUGACUUUGGGAUAACUUCAGGAAACAGGGGCUAAUACCGGAUAGGAGCUCCUGCUGCGUGGGGGGGGUUGGAGAGUUUCGGCGGUUGGGGCUGGUCUCGCGGGUUAUCAGCUUGUUGGUGGGGUUGUGGCUUUCACAGGCUUUGACGGGUAGCCGGCCUGAGAGGGUGACCGGCGACCUUGGGCCUGAGGUACGGCCCAGACUCCAACGUGCCGCAGUAGUGGAGAACAUUGCACAACGGGCGGAAGCCAGUUGCGGCAACGCCGCGUGCGUGAUAAUGUCUUUCGGGUUGUAAACCGCUUUCGCCUUUGACGAACCCGUAUUGACGGUAACUGGUAAGGAAGCACCGGCUAACUACGUG